rnacentral:siRNA from 1 species
GAUGAGAUGACAUAGAAAAAUGGU